CGCGAAAAGUCCACUGAACCUUAUCAUUUAGAGGAAGGAGAAGUCG
rnacentral:rRNA from 1 species